rnacentral:rRNA from 1 species
GUAGGUGGCAAGCGUUGUCCGGAAUUAUUGGGGCGUAAAGCGCGCGCAGGUGGUUCUUUAAGUCUGAUGUGAAAGCCCCCCGGGCUCAACCAGGGAGGGUCAUUGGAAACUGGGGAACUUGAGUGCAGGAGAGGAAAGUGGAAUUCCACGUGUAGCGGUGAAAUGCGUAGAUAUGUGGAGGAACACCAGUGGCGAAGGCGACUUUCUGGCCUGUAACUGACACUGAGGCGCGAAAGCGUGGGGAGCAAACAGGAUUAGAUACCCUGGUAGUCCACGCCGUAAACGAUGAGUGCUAAGUGUUGGGGGGUUUCCGCCCCUCAGUGCUGCAGCUAACGCAUUAAGCACUCCGCCUGGGGAGUACGGUCGCAAAGACUG